rnacentral:sRNA from 1 species
GCUGGGCGUGGUGGCGCACGCCUUUAAUCCCAGCACUGGGGAGGCAAAGGCAGGUGGAUCUCUGUGAGUUCAAGGCUAGCCUGGUCUACAUAGUGAGUUCCAGGACAGCUGGGGCUACAGGGAGACCCUGUCUCGAAAAGACCAAAAAAAAAAUCUUUUUGAGAACUAUGUAGACCAGGCUGGCCUUGAACUCACUGAGAUCCACCUGCCUCU